UGAACUAGUCAACGCUUUCUUCUAAAAUAGGCUUUGUGGUAGAUGAUUUUGCCCAACUGUAGGUUCAUGUGAGGGCUUCCCUGGUGGCUCAGUGAUAAAGAAUACCUCUGUCAAUGCAGAGACUCAGGUUUGAUUCCUGGGUCAGGAAGAUCCCAUGGAGGAGGGCACGGCAACCCACUCCAGUAUUCUUGCCUGGAGAAUCCCAUGGACACAGGAGCCUGCUGAGCUACAGUCUAUGGGGUCGCAAAACAGCUGGACAUGACUGAGUGACUAAACAACAGCAAGGAUCAUCAGGGUUCAUGUAAGCGUUCUGAGCACGUUAAGGUAGACUGGGCUAAGCUAGAAUGUUUGGUAGGUUAAGUGUAUUAUGUGCAUUUUUAAUUUAUGAUACUUUCAACUUAUGAUGGAUUAAUUGGGAUAUAGCCCCAUCAGAAGUUAAAGAUCUACAUUUUACAAGUCUGUAUAUAUUCUCAGUUUACGACUAUGACCAGCUCCCAAAUUUUUCUGUAACUCCAAGUUUUGAGGUCAAGUGCAUGUCUAUGUCCACACCGGCCUUGCUUGGGCUCACACACACACAUGUGAGAAAGAACAGGAAGUUGGCAAAACAUGGGGUGUACUUGUUAGGGAAAGAAAUGCAUGCAAUUCGUUAAGAAUAAGUUACUAAACUCACUUUCUAUGCAGUUCUUUAUCUCUUUCAUAAUGCGUCUCUGGUGUCAGACUAAACCUGGAGCUUUUUUUUUUUUUGCUUUGCUUUGCUUUUUUUUUUUUUUUCCAGUUUGACAAAUGGAUGGACACUCAGAGGAGAAGAAUCCUGACAGUCCUGUUAGAACGCUGCUCCCUGUCACAGCAAAAGUUCUGCUGUUGAAAGCUUCAGGAGAAAAUUCCAGCAGAAGCUCUGGAUUUUACGACCAAGCUCCCAAAGGUGAGCUGGCAGUGGAAGAAUUUAACUGAACUGGAUCACCUCUGGAUGCUAAAAUGUUUACGGUUUAACUGGUAUAUCAAUGUCUCCCCA
rnacentral:lncRNA from 1 species